AAACCAUGAUAUGGAGAGAGACUCUUCACAUCCUUAUACCUCUUCCAAACCUCAAAAAGGGAUUCACUGUUGGCUUGUCUAAAAUAAGUUAUAUGAUUUCUUAACAU